rnacentral:lncRNA from 1 species
CGGGGGCAGCCGCCAGCGGAAACGGUUAUUGGCCGCCAGUUCUCAGGUUCUGUGAGACCAGAGCCUCAGUCUCCCGUGAGCAGAGGGUGUGUGUGUGGCUGCCACUAUUCUGCAGACACGCUGGCUCCACCCCAGAGAGUUGCAGGGCCAGGAAAUCUGCAUUUAAACAGACCCUGGCUCUCACACUUCGGAAACUGCCCGAAGCACCUCUCAAAUAUGGGACAGGUGCUUAGGCCGAAAAUCAGGAAUCUCUUGAAUGAAUGCAUGAAGGUGGAGCCCUUUCCCUUAAUGCGCAGGUGAAAAGGGCACCUCGGUGGAUUCUACUAAAUUUAAUAGAAGGUAAGUAGGACCUGGGUCACACCGGCUUGUGGAAAGUGGAGGUCAGAAUCUGAGAGGCUGCGUUUGGCACUAGGUGGGAAGGAGCUGGCUAGGGGGCAGAGGAAAGAGGGCAGGUGGCUUCGGAUCCGGGGUCUCUCUUUCGUUCAACUCCGUGGGUGUUAAGGGAGCCCCAUGGCGGCCUGGGCAAGCGCUGAGAGCACCUGGAAAGAGAACACCCCGCUGGACCCUCCUCUCCCCUCACUUCCAGUUGCACAGGCGAGGCCCAGCCACCUGGACGCAGGCCCAGAAGCCCAGGAGGCGGGCUAGGGGAAGGAGGGGUUUCCUGGGUCACCAGCCCCUCCCCACCGGGUCCCUGGUUCGCAGGAGGCCUCGAGGCUCGGUCCCCUGCCCGCCCCCUCUACUCUGUUUCCCCACUGCCCACAGCCUGGCCUGGUAAACAGCCCUUUCCCUGGGAAUUUCUCCCCAGCAUCUCCGGCAGGUGUGGAUGGGGGUUUGUGGCCACCCAGCCUCCCCUUCUCCAGGCCAAGACAUCCCUGGUCCUGUUUGUCCUCCCAACAUGGCUUCCAGACCCUUCUCCGUGGGGGACCCCAGCCUGCAUUUCCGGUUCAGAUAGGGUCUGACCAGGAUGGAGGUUGGAACUGUGGUCCCCUCACCAUGGACACAUGGCUCCUGGGAGACCCCUGGCUCCUUUCGGGUCCCCCAUUUCCUUCCAGCUGGGGUCAGGGCCAGCCAGCUGCAGGAUACCCUCUGCUGUGCCCCUUCUGGGCCCCAGGAGGCCCUUCCUUCCUCUUGGGAUGAGGGCGCCGUCCCUACAUGCUUGUCUUGUGGGUGCCUGGUGAUGCUGAACCACCUGGGCCUCCCUCAUGGCGAGGCCCUUCCUUCCUCGCAGGGACCCAUUCGGGGUGGCCCUUAGGAAGGGAGCUGUUUUGGAAGACCCCUUGACUGCCCUUCUCCUCUGUCUCAUCCUCAUUCCAGGACCUUGCUCAGUGGCUGAGAUUGUAUACUCGUCAUUUUGAUUUAGAAAAAGACAUGAUCAGGUUCUGGGAUCUAUUCUCCCUAAGGAUGUCUGGCCAGGGUAAUAGCCCUGCACUGAGCAGAAGGCAUGGAGACCACAGGGUGGGCCACAGAGCAGGAAAGAUCGAGGGAAGGGGCAAAGAAUGGCAGAGGUGAAGGAAUCCAGAGUACUCCAGGUGCUGCACACACACCAGACCUCACAGCCCCCUGUGGAGCUCAGAUUAUUCCCUUAUUUUUCUUUUUUUUUUUUUUUUUGAGAUGGAGUUUCCCUCUUGUUGCCCAGGCUGGAGUGCAAAAGUGCAAUCUCCGCUCACCACAACCUCUGCCUCCCAGGUUCAAGCUAUUCUCCUGCCUCAGCCUCCCGAGUAGCUGGGAUUACAGGCAUGUGCCACCACGCCCAGCUAAUUUCGUAUUUUUAGUAGAGACAGGGUUUCUCCAUGUUAGUCAGGCAGGUUAUCCCCAUUUUAUAGGGAAAGAACUUGAGUCUGCAAGAAGCAAGUCACCCAGGAUUCUCAGGGCGAGGAGGAGGCUGAACCAGGAUUUGGACCCAGAUAUCUCUGGCUCUCAAGCCUCCUCUUUUCUAUAAACCACCUGUUUACAGCACAGAGGGAGCUGGUCAUUGGGGCCGAGCUGGGUUUAUGGUAUCUGAAGCUUACACAAUUUCAAGAGGACUCUCAUUUAAAAAAAAAAACAAACACAAUUACAAAACCAAAAUUAGGCAUAACAGUGAAUUUUAUUUAUUUAUUUAUUUUAUUUUUAAUUUUUUUUUUUGAGGCGGAGUCUCGCUCUGUCACCCGGGCUGGAAUGCAGUGGCGCCAUCUCGGCUCACUGCAAGCUCCGCCUCCUGGGUUCAGGCCAUUCUCCUGCCUCAGCCUCCCGAGUAACUGGGAUUACAGGUGCCCACACCAUGCCCGGCUAACUUUUGUAUUUUUAGUAGAGACAGGGUUUCACCACAUUGGCCAGACUGGUCUCGAACUCCUGACCUCAGGUGAUCUGCCUGCCUCGGCUUCCCAAAGGGCUGGUAUCACAGGCUUGAGCCACCACACCUGGCUUCCCUAUGUUUUUCUAUAUCCUGAUCGCUUCCUUGUACAACAAGGAUUUUGCAAUGCCAUAUUCUAUAGAGAAAACAAACUUCAAUCAAAUUUCUUUGAUAUGGUAGCAGGAAGAGUUCAGGGCAUGGCUGUGUCAAGUUUUCUCAUGUGGGACCUGACCUUACAUGCUCCUUGGAUGGGCCACACUGGUGACCACGCGAGGCUUUGAUGCUCUCAUCACAGGGACCUGUUCUGAGUUUUAUGUUGUCUUUGUUGGUUUCAACAUUUUAUGCCAAAUCAGCAAGAAAUUUAAAUCUUUUUUCAUCAUGAUCAUUGUAUUCAUUCUCCUUCAUUCAUUGGUGAGCCUGUUCCUGGAAGCCAUCUGUACCCUCGGACAGCCAGCAACGACUGAGCUACACAUGGAUAGAACCAUGAACCACAAGAAAUACCCCUGAAUUCUGAACUAUUUCCAUAUCAACUUCUCCCAAAAUACCCACAGCCAGUCCAACACCAUCCAACUGGAUGGGAGCAGGGAAGGCGGGGAAUCAGAGUGGAAAGAGACUUAGCUGAGUUAUUUUUAUUAUUUUUAAAAGCCUUAUUCAUAGACAUAUGUGUAUAUUUAGAGACAGAGUCUAUCACUACGUUGCCCAGGUUUGAUUCUUUUUUUAGAGACAGGUCUGGAGUACAGUGGUGCAAUCUUUGCUCAUCACAGCCUUGAACUCCAGGGCUCAAGCCAUCCUCCCACCUCAGCCUCCUGAGUAGCUGGGACUACAAGCAUGUGCUGUGCCACCAAGCUGGCUUGGUGUGACUAACUGAUGUCUCACCUUUGCAAACUUUACAGAAACAUAUGACAUAGGAACACAUUGCAAUUACAUAUUGCAAUUCAGCAGAAAAAAAAAAAAGAAAGACUUUCUUUUUACUGAAUGGCACUGACUUACCAGGUACAUACAAGCAAGUGGAGUCUGGGGACCACUUUUUGGCUGUUCUAGAGAAAGUGCCCCAAAGAGGAUUCAGCAGCCAGACUCCUGUUAGUUUUCUCAUCUCACUCAGAAGGCUCAGCCUCUGAAACAACCAUUCCAGGACUUGGAGGCAGGGGAUCUGGGUUAAAGGCCCAGCUCUGCCGUUUCCUAACUGUGGGGCCUUGGCAAGUGCAGGUCCUGUGAGCUUCACCAGCCUCAUUAGCAAGAAUAGUUCAUGUUCCCCUGCCACGGAAGUGCCCUGUGAACUAGAAGAGAGCAUGGGCAAGUAUGGGGUUAGUCUCGCUAACAGAUCAGCCAGCUUCUGUCUGGGCAAUUCUGUCAUUUAGGGUUUUGCUGGGGUGGCCCCGGGAGUCGUUUGGGAGUUCACCUAUCUCCCCAGGCAUGGAGAAGGGGUGGUGUUUCUGAAUCAGGAUUCUGAGCUGAACUGCAAACCUGACUGUGCUCCAAGUUUCUUGGACCAGCAAGCCCAGCUCCCAGAGUCCCGCUGCCCUGGCCUGAACCCGCCGCUCCACACCCCGGGCUCUCGGCAGCCGGGCGGCUCGUGGGAGGAGGCGCCAUGAGCCUUCUUGCAUUUCCUGCUUCAGACUUGAUGGAUUACAGAGGACUCCUGCUCCAGCUGUGGGGAACUCCAGCCCGCACUUUGCCUCCAGCCCGAUGGUGCAAGAUCCAGCUUCUCUUCAGCCUGGCAUCAAACGUCUUUUUGAUCAGCUUUUCAUCCAUUUUCUGAAAAUGUAGUGAUUGAGAGAUGUUCUGAAUCUUGCAGAAUUCUGUGUCGCACCCUGGCCACACAUCAAUGCAGGCCUGAACCUGACCCUGGGUGGACUCCCUGCUCUCUGCCAGCCCCUUUCUCACCCCUGGGUCCCCACGGCCCCUGGCUCUCUCCCCUCUGCUAGAAUCUCGCUGAGGGAUUGGUGGGGAGGGGGUGGUCACGCACUGGGUGGAGAUCUGGUGCCCCCUGGAGGCCGGACAGGAAGGGCCAGGGCGGACAAGGUCUUUGAGAACUCGGUGGCAUCCCGCUCCUGAUGGCCUGGGUCCCACCGCCCCUCCCCCAGCCUUCCUGACAGCAGAGGAGAUUGAUGGGGCGCUGCUCGAAUGUUCUUCAUCAGCGUCUUCAGUAAUAAGCUUCUCCAUUGGGUAACCGAUCCUAGUUUAGCAAAACCGUUUGUCAACCAUUUCCUCCCUUGAGCUUGAUAAGAACCCCGUGGGAGAGGAGAGAGGGGGGCCCCCCAGGAUCUGAAAAGCUGUGCCUCAGCCAAGUUCAUGAGUCACUGGCGAGGAGGCCUGUAGGUCAGCAAAGCCUAGGAGGUCAAGAGUGCCCACAUGGGGACCUACGGGCCUCAGGGCCGCAGGUUGCUGGGUUGGACCCUGGCUUGGAGCUCAGGAUAGAAACCCGGAAACCCCACAGGCAAAGAAGGAUGCAGAACAGAACAGGGCAGAACCAAGGACCCAGUGAGGGUGGCUGGCGUCAGAGCAAAUAUCAGAGUUCACAAGGUGAAAUAAUCCAAAAAUCUAUACAGAAAAAGCUAAUCAUUUUCUCCAAUCUCUCCCCCAAAGGUGUCUACUCCUGCAGGCUUACCUGUAACCUUUGUCACUCACUCUUCUGAUUCUGCAAACAUAUAAACCACGGAGCCACAGCCAAGAGAAUCUGGACUUGUUCGUUUUUCCUGAAAUAGGAUAUCUUAAAUAAUCCGUGGCUCAGCACUGCGCCCUUUUUUUUCUUUUCUUUUCUUUUUUUUUUUUUUUUUGAGACGGAGUCUCGCUCUGUUGCCCAGGCUGGAGUGCAAUGUCAUGAUCUUGGCUCACUGCAACCUCUGCCUCCUGGGUUCAAGCAACUCUCCUGCCUCAGCCUCCUGAGGAGCUGGGACUGCAGGUGCAAGACACCACGCCUGGCUAAUUUUUGUUAUUUUUAGUAGAGACAGUGUUUCACUAUGUUGGCCAGGCUGGUCUCGAACUCCUGACCUCAAAUGAUCUGCCUGCCUCGGCCUCCCAAAGUGCUGGGAUUACAGGCACAAGCCACAGCACCCAGCCUCACUGUGCCCUUUUCACUGGCAGGCAUUUUAUUGUCCCUACAGACCCAAGACGGGGUGGGGGAGACGUGCUUUGUGCUCACCUGGCUGGUUCAUGGGCAGGUGGCCUGGAGGACCCAGCCCUGGCAGCUGUGGGGUAGCUCCAGCCUGGGCCGGACAGCUUCUUUCAUCGCAGGCACCACUGCGGACAUUGCUGGGAGGAAGAGGAGGGAGAAGCGACGGGCUUCAUUAGGAACGGAAAUGCCAAGAUUAGUGAAAGAAUGAAAAGAGUCAAAACAGCCUAGAAAAGGCUUCAAUGAUCCUCAAACUGGAUGAUCGAAUCCCGAAUAAUUGGGAAUCAACAGUAAAGGCCAAAGCUUUCGAUGGAUUGGACGAGGCGCGUCCACCCUGGGGAGGGCCAUCAUUUUAUUCAGUCUACUGAUGCAAAUGCUUAUCUCUUCUGGAAACACCUUCACAGACAGACCCAGAAUAUAGUUGAACCAAAUACUGGGCACCUCAUGGCUCCAACAGGUUGACACAAAAAAUGAACCAUUGCAGAAAACGAAGAACAGUCACCAACUCCCACCCAUGCAGCUGGCUCAUUUGCUGGGCUGCCCUCCCCAGCAGGUGGCACAGGAAUCCCUGCCUUGGCAGGGAGGAGGCCUGGGGUGUGUGCAGGUACCCAUGGGAAGUUUCUUUGCCAUGGGGAAAGCCAGAGUCACCCCUUGCUUGAACACAAGAGUUGGAGGUUUCAGUGAGCUGAGAUUACGCUAUUGCACUCCAGCCUGGGCGGCAGAGUGAGACUCUGUCUCUAGAUAAAUAAAUUAAAUAAAUAAAUAAAUAUAAUUUAAUAUAAAUAACUAGAAAUUUUUCAAUACUUGCAUCUCUGUAGGUUACCUCUGGAAGUGCAGGGCUUUGUCUUUUUGGAUUAACUCAGAAAUUAGACCUUCAGAAAACAACAUCAGCUCUGAUUCUCUGCACCCUUGAUGCUGCCGGUGGCGACUGCGGCUUCCUGAUGGAAAUGUAGACCUGAACAUAAGUCGCAGAAAAAUGCAGACUUGAGUUGGAGCUAAGCUGACUCAGGUAUUUUGAGAUCUAUAAUCUGAGUGGGGAGCAGAGAGAUUCCAAGAUAUUUGCAUUCAGUGGCUUUUGCACACAGCAGAACCUGUGCUGAGGGCAUUUCUAGGGUCAUUACUCAUAAUCUGCAGUGUCUCUUUCCAGGGUUCCAGGCGUCUUACCCCAGAGGUGAUUUCCAGAUUUCGAGAAAAACCCAGGAUUUAGGGCUGGCACGGUGGCUCACGCCUGUAAUCCCAGCAUUUUGGGAGGCCGAGGCAGGUGGAUCACUUGAGGUCAGGAGUUUGAGACCAGCCUGGCCAACAUGAUGAAACCCUGUCUCUACUAAAAAUACAAAAAAAUUAGCCGGGUGUGGUGGCAUGCACCUGUAAUCCCAGCUACUCAGGAGGCUGAGGCAGGAGAAUCACUUGAACCUGGGAGGCAGAGGUUGCAGUGAGCCUAGAUCGUGCCAUUGCACUCCAGCCUGGGCAACAAGAGCAAAACUCCAUCUCAAAAAAACAAACAAACAAACAAACAAAACGCAAGAUUUAGAUCCCCUCACUGUAGCGCCCUCAUGGCCUGGUAACUUUAGCAAAGCCUCCCCCUCCUCCCCCUCCUCCUCCUCCUCCUCCUCCUCCCUCCUCCCUCUUCUAGGUACAGAGGAUGAGCAGUGGCUCCCCACACCAUCCCCUGAAGCAGAGGCCCCUCUUCCCUUCAUUCCCCAUUCUGUACAGAUGCUAUGGGAGCUUCAGGCUCCACACUCAGGUCCCCAGUCCCUGAAACAUAAAGCUGAAUAAGACAGAGUCCCUGGGCUGAAGGGGCCACUGUUGGCCAUGGAAGCAGAGUAAACAGAGUGGGGCCGACGUAAAGGUGAGCUGGGGUGCACUGGAGGCACAAAACGGGCAAGGAUGGAGACGUGGGUGACGAGGUAGGGCAGACAGGCAGAGCUCAGACUGGGUCCUAGGCAGGGAGAAGUCACCAUUGUAGAGCAAGGACGAUGUGGUCAGAUCUGGGCUUUAGAAAUCUAGGUGUCUAGCCUAGGCAAUAUAAUGAGACCUCGUCUCCACAAAAAACUUAAAAAAUUAGCCGAGUGUGAUGCCACAUGUCUGUAGCCGCAGCUACUCAGAAAGCUGAGGAUCCCAAGUGGAAGGAUAACUCUAGCUCGGGAGGUCGAGGCUGCAGUGAGCCAUGAUCGUGCCAUUGCACUCCAGCCUGGGCAACAGAGCGAGACCCUGUCUCAAGAAAAAAAAAAAAAAAGUAAAAGAAAAAGAAAGAAGAAAUACAGCUCUGGAGCUGCCUAGGACAGGGUUGGGGACUCUCCUGACUAGCUGCCAGCGAAUGUUUGCUUUCUGUGGCCAGGCCCUGCCUGGCCAGGGUGCACAGGGCUGAGCGAGGCAGAUGGAGCCCCUGCUCUCAGACUGCUUUUCCGAAUGCCAUCUUGACGCUGCUCAAGUUUGGAUUUUGGUUUUCAUGGAAGUCAACUAUGGUUCUGACAUGGCCACCUCUGUCUCAACUGAUGCACGGCCUAGGGAAUCCGGUGAUGCUUCAGCAGGUGGCAGGGCUCAGCUGCACCCGCCCGGGCCCCAGCGCCGCCUGCCACUCCUCCUCCUCCUCCCAGGCUUCGGCUGAGAGCAGGGCCUGGAGCCAGCCUGCUGGGUGGACUCCCAGCUCCACAGUUGGCUAGCUCUGGGGCCCUGGGGAGAUGUCCACCCUCUCUGUGCUUUAAUUUCUUCACCUGUGAGGUGGGGAUGGUAGCACCUCCCUCAUGGGGUGGCUAUGGCUGUGAAAUGAGGUAACGUCUCGGUGUUAGGCAGCUUCCAAAACGGCUCUCCAAGAUCCCCUGCCUCCUGGCCUUCAUAGCCUUGUGGAACCCCUGGCCCUGUGUGUGGGCUGGACUCACUGCCUGCUUCCACCCAAGAGAACAGGGCACAGCUGAUGGGGGUUACUUCUGAGACUAGGUGAUCAAGACUGGGGCUUGCUGGGUCCCUCUGUCUCUGACUCUUUCCUCUGCUCUCUCCUGCUCACUUGCUCACCCUAAUACUAUAUCAAGAGCUGCCCUAGAAAGAGGCCCCGUGGCAAAGAACCAAAGGCACCCAGCAACACGAGUGAGGGUGGAAGUGGCUCUUUCCCCAUUCCAGCCUCGCGGUGACCGCAGCCCUGGCUGACACCUUGCUUGCAGCCUGGUGAGAGACAGCAGCCCGAGGACCCUGCUAAGCUGCACCCAGGCUCCUGACCCAUGGAAACUGUGAGAUGAUAAACAUGUACUGCUUAAGCUGAGAUUCGGGCUAAUUUGUUACACAGUCAUAGACAUCGUUUUUUGUUGUUGUUGUUUUUUGAGAUGGAGUCUCACUCUGUCGCCCAGGCUGGAGUGCAGUGGCACAAUCUCAGCUCACUGCAACAUCCACCUCCCAGGUUCAAGCGAUUCUCGUGCCUCAGCCUCCCAAGUAGCUGGGAUUACAGGCAUCUGCCACCAUGCCCGGCUAAUUUUUUUGUAUCUUUAGGAGAGACAGGGUUUCACCAUGUUGGCCAGCUGGUCUCAAACUCCUGAGCUCAAGAGAUCUGCCCACCUUGGCCUCCCAAAGUGCUGGGAUUACAGGCAUGAGCCACUGUGCCCGGCCUGUUACACAGUCAUAGACAUCUAUAAAAUACUCAACACGGUGCCGGCGCAUGGCAAGCAUCAGUUACUGACCACGGUGACCCUUCUGUGUACACCAGGGGAACUCAAAAUACUCAGGAAAUCUAAGCAUAUAAGCCUAGUCACCAGGCUGUCGACAUGACCCUUAACAAUGAACCUGUGUCUUUUGCCACCUCAUGAUGUCAUAGAAGAAGAGCAGCAUCAAUGUUAAGAGUCUGGAGGAGGGACUAGAUGCUGUGGCUCACACCUGUAAUCCCAGCACUUUGGGAGGCCGAGGCAGGUGGAUCACCUGAGGUCAGGAGUUCGAGACCAGCCUGGCCAACAUGGUGAAACUUUGUGUUUACUAAAAAAUACAAAAAAUUAGCCAGGCAUAGUGGCAUGCACCUGUAAUCCCAGCUACUCUGGAGGCUGAGGCAGGAGAAUCUCUUGAACCUAAAAUCUAAAAAAUAAGACCACGCCAAGGAAAAAAAUCAGUAACAGUAUAGAGGGGAUGGAAGCAGACCUCUUUAAUACACCUUGUUCUUCAGUUUUGACUUUGCCAUCAUGUAAAUGCUUUAUUUAGUUCUAAAUCAAAUUUAAAUUGAAAAAAAAAAAUUCCCAGGCCAGGGCGGCGGCUCAUGCCUGCGAUCCCAGCACUUUGGGAGGCUGAGGUGGGCAGGUCAACUAAGCCCAAGAAUUUGAGACCAGCCUGGGCAAUAUGACAAAACCCCAUCUCUACAAAAAAUACAAAAUUAGCCAGAUGUGGUGGUGCAGGUGCUUGGAGGCUGCUUGGGAGGCUGAGGUGGGAGGAUGACCUGGGCCUGAGAGGUGGAGUUUGCAGUGAGUCGAGAUUGCACCACUGCACUCCAGCCUGGGUGACAGAGUGAGGCCCUGUCUCAAAAAAGAAAAAAAAAAAAGUAUUUCCUAGUUGAUUUUUGUUCAACUUCAAUUAAUCAUAAUCUACCUUCUUUUUUUUGUUUUUGAGACAAGAGUCUCGCUCUGUUGCCCAGGAUGGAGUGCAAUGGUGUGAACUGCAACCUCUGUCUCCUGGGUUCAAGCAAUUCACCUGCCUCAGCCUCUUGAGUAGUUGGGAUUACAGGUGUCCACCACCACACCUGGCUAAAUUUUGUACUUUUAGUAGAGAUGGAGUUUCACCAUGUUGGUCAGGCUGGUCUCAAACUCCUGACCUCAUGAUCCACCCACUUCGGGCUCCCAAAAUGCUGGGAUUACAGGCGUGAGCCACCGUGCCCUGCCAAUCACAAUCUACCUUUAAGUGAUAAUAUGCUACCUUUUUUUUUUUUUUUUUAGACAGUCUCGCUCUGUCCCUCAGGCUGGAGUGCAGUGGCGCAAUCUUGGCUCACUGCAAGCUCUGCCUCCCGGGUUCACGCCAUUCUCCUGUCUCAGUCUCCCAAGUAGCUGGGACUACAGGUGCCUGCCACCAUGCCCGGCUAAUUUUUUGUAUUUUUAGUAGAGACAGGGUUUCACCGUGUUCGCCAGGAUGGUCUCUAUCUCCUGACCUUGUGAUCCGCCUGCCUCAGCCUCCCAAAGUGCUGGAAUUACAGGCAUGAGCCACCAUGCCCAGCCAAUAUACUACUUAAUAUAAAGCAUAAGAACAUUGGCCAGGUGCGGUGGCUUAUGCCUGUAAUCCCAGCACUUUGGGAGGCUGAGGAGGGUAGAUUGCUUGAGCCCACAAGUUUGAGACCAGUGACACCCCAUCUCUACAAAAAAAUGUAAAAAAUUAGCUGGGUAUGGUAGUACAUGCCUGUAGUCUCAGCUACUUGGGAUCGCUUGAGCCCAGGAAGUCAAGGCUGCAGUGAGCCAUGAUUGUGCCACUGCACUCCAACCUGGGCAACAGAGCAAGACCCUAUCCCCACUCCCCACCCUCCCAAAAAAAAGAACCUAAAAGUAGUGUAUUUCUGAUUCUCCACAUACACACUCCAUCUAUUUAAGAAACUACAAUAAAUACAAUGAGUUCAGGCUGGAUGCGGUGGCUCAUGACUGUAAUCCCAGCACCUUGGGAGGCAGAGGUUGGUGGAUCGCUCCACUGUACUCCAGCCUGGGUGACAGAGCGAGACUCUGUCUCAAAAUAAAUAAAUGAAUAAUAAAAUAAAAAGUAAAUGGUCUAGGCCUGGCCAACAUGGUGAAACCCUAUCUCUACAAAAAAUACAAUAUUUAGCCGGGUGUGGUGGUGUGCACCUGUAGUCCCAGCUACUGCGGAGGCUGAGGCAGGAGGAUCACUUGAGCCCAGGAAGUGAAGGCUGCAGUGAGCCACAAUUGCGCACCACUACACUCCAGCCUGGGUGACAGAGUGAGACCCUUUCUAAAAAAAAAAAAAAAAGGAAAGAAAAGAAAAUGUCCAAAUUUAAAGGCAGAGAUUGUCAGAUUGGAUUAAAAAAAGAUUCAGUAUCCUAUUUAUAAGAAACACACUUCAAAUAUAAAGACACAAAUAGGUUAAAAGUAGAAGGAUGGAAAAAGACAUACCUACCAUGCUAUCACAAAUCCAAAAAAAGCUAGCGUGGCUUAUCAAUAUCAGACCAAGUAGAUUGUAUAGCAGAAGACAUUACCAGGGAUAAAGAGGUUAAUUCAAUAAUGAUUAAGGGGUCAGUUAUUCCAGAGGACAUAACAAUUCUAAACGUUUAUGUACCUAAUAACAGAGCUUCAAAACACUUGAAGCAAAAACUUAUAGAACAGCAAAGAGAAAUGGAAAAGUUGACAAUCAUAGUUGAAGAUGUCAAUACCCUGCUUUCAAUAAUUGAUAGAAUUGAUAGAAUAGCUGGGUAUAGCCGUGUAUCACCUGUAGUCCCAGCUACUCAGGAGGCUGUGGCAGGAGAAGCACUUUAGCCCAGGACUUGAGUCUAGUCUGGACAACAUAGUGAGAUCCCACCUCUGAAUAAAUACAUAGAAAUUGAUAGAAUGAAUAGACAGAAAACCAGCAAAUAUAUAGAAGAUUUGAACAACAUUAUCAACCAACUCGAUCCAAUGGACAUUUAUAAAACACUUUACCCAACAACAGCAGAAUACACAUUCCUCUCAAGUUCACACAGAAUAUUUACCAACAUAGACAAUAUUCUGAGACAUUAAACAAGUCUCAGUACAUUUAAAGGGACUCAAGUCAUUCAAAGUAUGCUCUCUUACAAUGGAAUUAAAUUAGAAAUUGGUAACAGAAAGAGCUCUGAAAAUGCCCAAAUAACUUGAAAACGAAAUAACACACUUCUAAAUAAUCCACGGGUCAAAAAAGAAGUCAAAAGAGAAGUCAGAAAGUAUUUUGAACUGACUGAAAAGGAAAACCCAACAUAUCAAGUUGUGUGGUAUUAUUAGCUGUACGUUUCUUUGUAGAUGCUAUUUAUCAGGUUGAAGAAGUUCUCUAUUCUCAGUUUGCUGGGAAUUUUUUUUUUUGUUUUUUGUUUUUUGAAACUGAUUCUGGCUCUGUCACUCAGGCUGGAGUGCAGUGGCGUGAUCUCGGCUCACUGCAAGCUCUGCCUCCUGGGUUCACACCAUUCUCCUGCCUCAGCCUCCCGAAUAGCUGGGACUACAGGCGCCCGCCACCACGCCCGGCUAAUUUUUUGUAUUUUUAGUAGAGACGGGGUUUCACUGUGUUAGCCAGGAUUGUCUCGAUUUCCUGACCUCGUGAUCUGCCCGCCUCGGCCUCCCAAAGUGCUGGGAUUACAGGCAUGAGCCACCACGCCCGGCCAUUUUUUUUUUUUUUAAUUAUGAAUGGGUGUUGGAUUUUUGUCAAAAGCUUUUCUUGCAUCAAUUGAUAUGAUCCUAUGAUUUUCUUCUUUAUCCUGUUGGUAUGCUAAAUUGCAUUAAUUUUUUUGUGUUUUUGUUUUAUGAGACUGAGUCUCACUCUGUAGUCCAAGCUGAAGUGCAGUGGCAUGCAGUGGUCAGCUCACUGCGACCUCCGCCUCCGGGGCUCGGGCUUAAGCUAUUCUCGUGCCUCAGCCUCCCGAGAAGCUGGGACUACAGGCGCAUGUCACAUGCCACCAUGCCCAGCUAAUUGUUUGUAUUUUAGUAGAGAUGGGGUUUCACCAUGUUGCCCAGAGUGGUCUCGAACUCCUGAUCUCAGGCCAUCCACCUGCCUCGGCCUCCCAAAAUGCUGAGAUUACAGGUGUGAGCCACUGUGCCCUGCCUAAUUAAUUUUUGAAUAUUGAGUCAGCUUUGCACACUGCCAAUGCAAUCAAGAUGUAGUUAUUCUUAGGCUGGGCAUGGUGGCUCACACCUGUAAUCCCAGGACUUUGGGAGGCCGAGGAAGGUGGAUCACUGGAGGUCAGGAGUUCAAAACCAGCCUGGCCAACAUGGUGAAACCCCGUCUCUACUAAAAAUACAAAAAACUAAUCAGGCAUUGUGGCGUGUGUCUGCUACUCAGGAGGCUGAGGCAGAAGAAUGGCUUGAACCCGGGAGGCGGGAGGUUGCAGUGAGCCAAGAUCACGCCACUGCACUCCAGCCUGGGCAACAGAGCAAGACUCUGUCUCAAAAAAAAAAAAGUAGUAGUUAUUCUUUCUCUACCCCCUCUCCCUUCCCACUGACUGAGGCAGGCAAUGAUGAUGAAGCCUUAGGCAGAGGAGAUGGAAGGUGAUGUGCUCCGGAAUCACUGUAUGGGGGAAAACCCCCUCAUCAACCACAAACACUCACACUGGUCAGUCAUGUGAGUGAGAAACACAUGUCUUUUGGGUUAAGACGUUAAUAUUUGGGGAUUUAUAUUAGGGGAUUUAUUUAUUACAACAGCUAGCGUUUCCUUGCUGUUAACCUCAAAAAUCAUCAGUGUAUCUCGAAAGACACAUUCUUCUUCUUCUUCUCUUUUUAAUUGAGAUGGAGUCUCGCUCUGUUGCCCAAGCUGGAGUGCAGUGAUGCAAUCUUGGCUCACUGCAACCUCUGCUGGCCAGGUUCAAGCAAUUCUCCUGCCUCAGCGUCCAGAGUAGCUGGUAUUACAGGUGCCCAUCACCACGCCCAGCUAAUUUUUGUAUUUUUAGUAGAGACAGAGGUUCGCCAUGUUGGCCAGGCUGGUCUCGAACUCCUGACCUCAGGUGAUCCACCUGCCUUGGCCUCCCAAAGUGCUGGGAUGACAGGUUGGAGCCUCUGCGCCCAGCCCAAUUCUUGAGUAUUAAAUGCUUAACUGCCUUGUUAUACCUCCUGUACUAAGAACACUAAAAAUGUAGAGCAUUUUAGACAAGAAACCUAAUUAAAAAAAAAAAAAAAAAACCCAGUUCAAAAGCAUUUGGGAGUGAUUCAGAAAACCACAGCCCCGGAGCUAUAGUCUCUGAAGAUGCGGGGCCUGGACCUCUCUGCAUUCCCCCAUUGGUGUCUGCUGAAGACUAGCGUCUGCAGAAAUCCCAGUCUGUACACAGGCUGAGACUAUUCCUUUUCCCUACAUCCUGGUGAUGGGCACACACACACCUCAAGGGAGGCGUCGAUGCUCUCAGGCACUGAACUUGUUCCCGUGUCUUUAUGUUUCAUGAUCGUAUAUGAGAGAGGGAGCGUGGCCUGGAACUGUACACAAAAUGUGACCGAAAACAGCCUCUCGCUGUUUCCAAUUAAACAACCUGCUCGAGCCUUUGGUUUCUCUCCAUCACUUCCUGUCUCAAUCUCACUGACGUCUUCUUUUUUAGCAAAAUGCAUUUGUAUUUCAAGCAGAAGAUCAAUGGUUACAUUUUAAAACGCUAAAUAUCUUUUCUGCCAGGCCGAAUGGGGGUGUUUCUCCCAUCCUUCUCUGCACGUCUUCUCAUCUUAAAGCGAUGGAAUUGAGUUCUGUGAAAUCCGAUCUGGUGUUUAAGCUCUGAUUUAUAACAAAUUACCUAUGUGGCACUCAAGAAAGAACUUGUAUGUCAGAUAACACUGGAGUUUGAUUUCACCACCCUGCCCCCAAACCCGUUUAUUCAUUCAUGGCGGGGAGAGAUCCAGAGGGCCGGAGCAAUUUCAUCAACCCUGGAAUUCGCGCAUGGAGCCUCCUCUCCCCAGACCAUCCUGCUACCAUGAAUAGACAGCACGUGGCCGCCUUUUAUGAUAAGGUCAGAGGAAAGGAGUGCAUAGAGAGAGGCCGUUUGGAGAGUCGGAGCUGUAAGUUUCAGGUAUAAAACCUGAAUAGUACCAGUCCUCUUGCCUGGGGCCAGAUCAGACAGGAGGGAGGAGGUGGAAGGCAACUGUUCCACCUCCCGAGGUGAUUCCUUUGGACGCCUGAAUCCUUUGGAUUCCCUGGCUCCCAGCAGCGGACUCUGCCCUCAGCCAUCUUUAUCACUCCUGAUUAGGGCUGCAGACGCCUCCCUCCCCACCCUGCCUUGCCAGGCUUUGUGGCUCCCCGGGCUCGUUUUCUGAUAGAGCUGUCAGUUUUUACUACUGAUAGGAGAAAUCAUUUUCUUUCUUAGCUGAAUGUUAAUUGGCUCCCCUCCCCCAUUCACUUAGUAUAUCCCGUCCCCUAUUUUUUUUUUUUACCCCAAGGAAAAGGUACCUUAGUAGAGACACAUUUCGGAAAGACAAAGAAGGUGUUUCUUGCUAAAUUGCUAAUUGGUAACUGAAAUCAGAGGUUAAGAAAAAGCUAAAGAGGAGAGCGAGGAAGGAAUUAGGACCACAUGUUUCUGUAG